CGCGGAGGCUGCGAGGAAGGGAGCCGCAGCGAGCCCCGGGGAUUCCCAGGAAGGGUCUCUCCUUCCUAGCUGCUUCCGGGACCAAGCCACUCACCAUGAUGGAGAAGACCAAACCCACGAUGUUGAUGGGGUACGCGGGGCAAAAACAGGAGAAGAUGGUGAGCCACAGGUAGUUCUUCGGCAAGGGAAAGUGUCUUGCCCUCACUGGAUGAAAAUGAAGCAUGAAAAACAGGUUUUCUGUAACUGGCUCUGGGAAGAUGGAGGAAAAGUCUCAUGAAGCAGAAUUAUUUCCAAAGGGUCUGGACUCCGAAUCACUUUAAGAGUCUAAAAGACUGCAAGUUGAUAUGGGGAACUGCAACCUAGAGUAAUGGAUUCUAGAGGCUUCAGGGCAAUGCGUGAGUAGGAUUGAGCAGGGCAUUUGGAAGAUGGAAAUGGACUACACACCCUUCGUUUUAUAGGGGUGUGAAAUGAAAUUAAGAGAUGGUAGGUGACUUCCCUGAGGACAGAGUCCUAUAAUCUCAGACCAAGUGACAUGACUCUCCUGCUGAUGUUUUCUUUUUCUUUCUUCCUUCUCUAUCUCUAUUAUUUACCAGCUUAAAACAAUUUCUUUUUUUACUUUUCCUACUCCCACCUCACUGUUCCCAGCCCACUUAUCUCUAGAUCACCAUUUCUUUGUUUCAUUGUUGACAUUUUUGGGCAGGAAAGUUCUCGGUUAUAGAGAGCCAUCCUGUGCUUUGUAGGAUGUUCAGAUCCAUUCCUGUUCUCUGCUUACUACCUGCAAAGAGUACCCUCACCCUCGGUUUUGACAACAAAACACAUCUCCAGACUUGUUCAAAUAUGAUUUCACUCCCAGGGAAUAUUACUGCACUAAGACAGGGUUUUGCAUUUAUACAAGUCCUCAGGUGCUGCCGCCUAUGGACCAGCUAUUGAAUAACAGAGCUGUAACCCAAACAGCCCAAUAAGGUAAUUGUUUCCCUCCCCAUUUUUCGAGACCCUUUACAUCACAGUUGUAGUGCAAAAAAACACAUGAAUACAAUAUUGCUAUGAAUUGAAUUAGGCCUCAUAUGUGGAAGAUGGUAUUCUAGCAUUAGACUCUCAGAGGCAAAUUGUUCCCCAGGGAUAUGGGCCACACAUAAUAUUGCUUUCCUUCUUACCCUUGGCAAAUUAGAAACCAACCGAAUACAUUAAAAGGAAAUGGUUAUCAGAAAUAAUCACUUCAUUAUUCGUGUUAAUUUGGAAAAAAAAAUAAUGAGCCUCACCUACACAUUUAGCAUGUGCGGUUUGAGGAAACUUUGCCGAAUUUGCGUACUUAAAGUGAGUAAUUCCUGAAUAAAGAGGCUAGGAUGAGUUCAGAUGUGGAAUUAACCAUUUUUAAUUGCUUAAGAGAGCUUCCUGAGAGAGCUGCACAUUAGCGAGGGAUGGAGGCAGUUCUGUGUAGAGACAGGAAGGAUUAUAAUGCCAUCCUAAAUGUUUUCAAUUGUACAUGAAGGAGUGGGGCUUUCUAUCACAACCCAGCGAGAAAGGUCUUCUUGGGCUCCUAGGGAAUUUUUGUGCACUAAGGAUUAAAAUUUUUCUUGGAUCUUUUUUAACCAAUGAAGGUACAACAUGCUCUUGCUAAGGGAAGAAUCUCACUGUACUUUUUUUGAGUAAUAUCACAAGUGGAGUUUUCAGUUAGAACCACAGUAAGUGGAGCACACAUUUUCUUUCUUUUUUCUCUUUCCAUCCCCAUCAACUGCUUUCUCCCCUAUUCCUCUUCCACACGCUCUAUUCUCUCCAUCCCUUUGAUCUUUCUGCAAAGUGGAUAUAAUGAGGAACAACGUCUGCUUUCCUUCUGUUUUAUGAUUUGCACUCUCAAGUACUCUGUUUGUUUUUCUUACAACAACCAAAAGAAGAACUCAUGGUUCCAGGAGGGAUGUGGAGCUGUUUAUCAGCUAUAAGAAUUUCCAACCCUAUGGCACUGGAUGGCUUCUGUUUCACCAGGCAGCCGAAGUUUGGAAAAAGCAGAGUUCAGAAAACAAAGAAAGAAGUUUCCAGCUAUUAGGAUUAAAGAUGGGGAAACUGAGACUCCAGAAGAGAAGAGGACUACAUCUGUUACCUUCUGGUCCACUUCCUGGCUAGUACCACUCAACUCUCCUGCUACUCUUCAUUGGUCAGUUUUUUGGAAAUCUAAAACAAUAUUAAAGAAGGAAUGAGGAGGAAAGUGGAUUUGCUUUAUGGAAUCAAUGGUUCAUGAAAUAAUAAAGUAUAAACAUAAUGUUUGUAAAUG